GUCAAGUACGAGCGGCGACGGGUGAGUAACACGUGGGUGAUCUGCCCUGCACUUCGGGAUAAGCCUGGGAAACUGGGUCUAAUACCGGAUAUGACCUCCUAUCGCAUGGUGGGUGGUGGAAAGAUUUAUCGGUGCAGGAUGGGCCCGCGGCCUAUCAGCUUGUUGGUGGGGUAAUGGCCUACCAAGGCGACGACGGGUAGCCGACCUGAGAGGGUGACCGGCCACACUGGGACUGAGACACGGCCCAGACUCCUACGGGAGGCAGCAGUGGGGAAUAUUGCACAAUGGGCGAAAGCCUGAUGCAGCGACGCCGCGUGAGGGAUGACGGCCUUCGGGUUGUAAACCUCUUUCAGCAGGGACGAAGCGCAAGUGACGGUACCUGCAGAAGAAGCACCGGCUAACUACGUGCCAGCAGCCGCGGUAAUACGUAGGGUGCAAGCGUUGUCCGGAAUUACUGGGCGUAAAGAGUUCGUAGGCGGUUUGUCGCGUCGUUUGUGAAAACCAGCAGCUCAACUGCUGGCUUGCAGGCGAUACGGGCAGACUUGAGUACUGCAGGGGAGACUGGAAUUCCUGGUGUAGCGGUGAAAUGCGCAGAUAUCAGGAGGAACACCGGUGGCGAAGGCGGGUCUCUGGGCAGUAACUGACGCUGAGGAACGAAAGCGUGGGUAGCGAACAGGAUUAGAUACCCUGGUAGUCCACGCCGUAAACGGUGGGCGCUAGGUGUGGGUUCCUUCCACGGAAUCCGUGCCGUAGCUAACGCAUUAAGCGCCCGCCUGGGGAGUACUGCGCAGCUAAACUCAAGGAAUUGACGGGGGCCCGCACAGCGGCGGAGCAUGUGGAUUAAUUCG
rnacentral:rRNA from 1 species